CAACCNNCCAUCCAGUGGAGGAUAGCCUUUCGAAAGAAAGGAUAAUACUCCAUGACCUCCUCANAGGACAUCUGACGAGGAGCAAAGAUUCAUCGCUGGGUGAUGGGGAUGCGUCUGAUUAGGCAGUUGGCGGGGUAACGGCCCACCAAACCGACGAUCAGUAGGGGUUCUGAGAGGAAGGUCCCCCACAUUGGAACUGAGACACGGUCCAAACUCCUACGGGAGGCAGCAGUGAGGAAUAUUGGUCAAUGGACGGAAGUCUGAACCAGCCAAGUAGCGUGCAGGAUGACGGCCCUAUGGGUUGUAAACUGCUUUUAUACGGGGAUAAAGUGCGCCACGUGUGGAGCAUUGCAGGUACCGUAUGAAUAAGGACCGGCUAACUCCGUGCCAGCAGCCGCGGUAAUACGGAAGGUCCGGGCGUUAUCCGGAUUUAUUGGGUUUAAAGGGAGCGCAGGCCGGAAGCAAAGCGUGCCGUGAAAUGUAGAUGCUCAACAUCUGAAUUGCGGCGCGAACUGGUUUUCUUGAGUGCAUACGAGGUAGGCGGAAUUUGUGGUGUAGCGAUGAGAUGCUUAGAUAUCACGAAGAACUCCGAUUG
rnacentral:rRNA from 1 species